UUAUAGUGUUCAAAGCAGGCUUUCGAGCCUGGAUAAUGGUGCAUGGAAUAAUGGAAUAGGACCUCGGUUCUAUUUUGUUGGUUUUCGGAGCGCGAGGUAAUGAUUAAGAGGGACAGACGGGGGCAUUCGUACUGUGCCGUUAGAGGUGAAAUUCUUGGAUCGGCGCAAGACAAAUGACUGUGAAAGCAUUUGCCAAGAAUGUUUUUCGA
rnacentral:ncRNA from 1 species